UAAAUGCCAGGUCCAGCCAGAGUAAAAGGGUUGCUUGGUUUCUCUGAUUUGCAAUAUUGAAAGAAGAAGCUGGACCCACCUCCAGUACUGAGCUCGGGCGGGGUCCUAUGUACAAGUGAAGAAUCAUUACCCAUCAUGUAGUGUAAAUGUGGGUGUGCAGAGGCUGACAGGAGAGCGGUGAACGAGUUUUCAGUUACAAAACCCAUGUUUGUGCAUGUGUGUAUUGUGAGCUCUUUGCACUAAGCCUGUAAAAUUUCAGGGAAUGGCAAAAAUGAGGAAAUGAAGUCAGCGUGGUUAUUAACAAAGCAGGAGGUUAGAGCCAGAAGCUGGGGGCUUUGUCCAUGGUGCACUGACUCUGAGAUGCUUACAUGUGCCCUUUGACCUUUGAAGUGGCCUAUAUUUCCUGGUGAAUGGUUAAAGUGGGUGAGGAAGGAAUAGGGAAACCUGAUAGUCCUCAGAACAGUUGGUAAAACUGGUUUCCUUCCUGCAUUUGCUACUGUGUUUUAUCUUCAUAGUGCAGGGUUCUGAGUGUGUUUCCUGUACACACACAGAACCCCUGCAUUAAGAAAUGAACAUCAGAUGUAUCUUUUUUUUUUUUUAAUGGUUUUUCGAGACAGGAUUUCUCUGUAUAGCCAUGGCUGCCCUGGAACUCACUUUGUAGACCAGGCCGAACUCAGAAUACUCAAGAAAUCCCUCAUGGAUUGGAGUUUACUCCAAGGUCCUUAAGAUUUUCACAGAUUAAUUAGACUCUCCUUACAAAACCCAAUCUAUUCAAAGUCGGAGUCACCAGAAGCAAAGAUGACCCCUGAGGCUGUCCUGAAACAUAAACUUCAAGAGUGAAAACUUAAGUCAGGUGUGAAGAUGAACACUUGCAAUCCCAGCAUUUGACAGGCUGAAGCAGGAGGAUUGCUCUCAUCUUGAGCUCAGUCUUGGCUACAAAGAGAGUUCCAGGUUCUCCUGGUCUAUACAGAAUUAUUAUCUCAGAAACAUAAAAACAAACCAAACAAAAACCCUCUCAGUAAUGUGACCUUGAAGCUUACAAAUGGGUAAAUGAGUGUCUUUUUCAGUAUUGCUUAAACUUGUGUUCAUGUCAGGUCUGUCCCUGAUAAAAUAAUAGCUUUUUAUCAGACAGCACCAAUCUCAGGCAAGGAGAUGGGCUGUUCAGUGUUGUCAAGAAAUUACUCUACAAUUAUUUCUACAGUAUAUUCUUUAAAAGAUUAUUAUUCGUUUAUGUGUGUGGGUGUUUUGCCUGCUUGUAUGUGUGUGCACUCCAUAUGUGUCUAGUGCUAUGGAGGCCAGAAGAGGGCAUUGGUUUCCCUGAAACUGGAGUUCAUUUGUGAGCUACCAUGUGGGUGCUGGGAAUCAAACCAGGCUCUGUAGACUAUCAGCCAGUGCUCUUAACUGCUGAGCCACCUUUCUAGUUCCCAGAGCAUAUUCUUAUAUACUUGUAGGGUUCAGAGCAGUGUCUAUGAAAGCACACAGCUAUGGUCGGUGGUAAUUGGAUUGUUUAUAAGCUUUGUCUAAGCAGUUGUGGUUUCCCCCUCCCUCCUCCACAGUCUACAGACAAAUAGUUAAAAGUUACUUAAGGAUUAGGCAUCCAUGGUAGUUUUCCGAAGCUAGACUUCUAGUGUUUUCCUUUUAAUUCCUAUUAUUGCGAAACAGUUUCUAGUCUUUAGAUUGAACUCUUAAGAGUAAUGGUUUUAUUUAGCAGUUUGAUUUGUUAAGUGAGCUGAGUGAGACUUCACUUCUCUGCUCAGGGUGCAUUUCCUGUGACAGGAGGGGAGGUUACAAUUUCUGAUUAUCAUCUUUGGUGCACUAAUUUGUUUUGGUCUUACACAAACAGCCUGGUCUCUGUCUUUUUUUUAAUCCAUAAAAUGUGUCAGACACCACUUAACUUUGCUUAACAAGCAAGCUUGUUCAGAUAGACUGAAUGAACUGUAGAGUUUUAUGCUAUGUUAAUUAGUUUCAUUGCUCUGACAAAAUACUUGAGCUAAUCAGCUUAUUAAGGAGAAAGGGUUUGCUUGGCUAUCAUUUUGCUUUAUGACUGGUCCUUUUGCUGUUGGUUAGACAGUGUGCCAUGUUGGGAGCAUUUGGUGGAAGAACUAUGUUCAUCUCACUGUAACCCAGGAGUCUGUCACCCAGAGGAGGAGCCUGGAAUCCCCAUCCUUUCAAAGACAUGCCCGUGGUGGUUUAGCUUUCUCACGCUUAGCCUCACCUAUGAAAUGUUCCACUGUCUCCCAGCUACUCUGCAUACACUGUUAGCUUGCAAGCCUUUGAGGAACAUAGAAGAUGUAGUUUUUGUAAGAUAAUAUAUCUAAAUUGCUUAACCCAGAGUCGGGCUUGUAGCAGAUGCUUAGUGUGUUGUACCAUUGUAUAAUCAUCUGUGAUGGUUUGACAGUUGUUCACCCUCACAUUUUCUUAAAUUAAAAUACUUUAGUGUACUCUGCUAUAUUCUUUCUACCUAAAAACUUUAUGUCCUAUAUAAAGAAUGUAAUUUUUAGUUUUGUGUAAAGUUAGAAUUAAUAAACCAUUUUUAAGCC
rnacentral:lncRNA from 1 species